UACGAAGGGGGCUAGCGUUGCUCGGAAUCACUGGGCGUAAAGCGCACGUAGGCGGCUUUCUAAGUCAGGGGUGAAAUCCUGGAGCUCAACUCCAGAACUGCCUUUGAUACUGGAGAGCUAGAGUCCGGAAGAGGUGAGUGGAACUGCGAGUGUAGAGGUGAAAUUCGUAGAUAUUCGCAAGAACACCAGUGGCGAAGGCGGCUCACUGGUCCGGUACUGACGCUGAGGUGCGAAAGCGUGGGGAUCAAACAGG
rnacentral:rRNA from 1 species